rnacentral:rRNA from 1 species
UGAGGAAUAUUGGUCAAUGGGCGAGAGCCUGAACCAGCCAAGUCGCGUGAAGGAUGAAGGAUCUAUGGUUUGUAAACUUCUUUUAUACGGGAAUAAAGUUCAGGACGUGUCCUGUUUUGUAUGUACCGUUAUGAAUAAGCAUCGGCUAACUCCGUGCCAGCAGCCGCGGUAAUACGGAGGAUGCGAGCGUUAUCCGGAUUUAUUGGGUUUAAAGGGUGCGUAGGUGGUAGAUUAAGUCAGCGGUGAAAGUUUGUCGCUCAACGAUAAAAUUGCCGUUGAUACUGGUUUACUUGAGUAUAGUUGAAGUAGGCGGAAUGCGUGGUGUAGCGGUGAAAUGCAUAGAUAUCACGCAGAACUCCGAUUGCGAAGGCAGCUUACUAAGUUAUAACUGACACUGAAG